rnacentral:lncRNA from 1 species
UAUAUGGUUGUAUGUAAAGACAGACCCACUAAUGAAGUAAUUAAGGUUAAAUGGAGUCAUAAGAGAGAGGCCCUAAUUCCAUAAGAUUAGUGUCCUUAUAAGAAGAGACUCCAGAGAACUCACUUUCUCACUCUCUCCCUCCCUUUCCUUGCAUACAAACCAAGGGAAAAUCAUAUGAGAACAUAGCAAGAAGGUAGCUGUCUGAAAGCCAGGAAGAGAGGCCUCAGCAGGAAAUGAAUCAGCAAGAACCUUGAUCUUGGACUUCUAGCCUCCAGAAUUGAAGGGAAUGGGGCCUUGGAAAGAUUAGUGAACUGGACCCCUGACAUGAUCUCUUCCUUCCAAUACUUACAAUAAACUACUGUUUAGUAUGGAGAAGAAAGACUAGUGGAUAUUGAAGAACUGGCAGAAUAAACACUUGCAUAGAUGGAAGAUGUACAGAGGAUGUAUGCGAUACAGGACUUUAAAGAAUGCUGACAUCUUUGUGGCUGAAAUUAAUUGGAAAUUUUAAAAAUGUCGAGUUGAUUUCUCAGAUGUUUUACUCACCGAUAAUAUGUGCUUUAUCCACGUCAGUGCACUUUUGCCAUAAAUUAUUGUUGUUAUCACUAUUAUUAUUUUACUUUGCCAAUCUGAAAUCCGUCCUGGAAUUUGGCACAUGUAUGGGAUAUGGAUAGAAAAUAAGAGCAAAGAGGAAUUCAAGAUAAUGAGGCAAUAUAAACAAAAGUUGAAAAGAGAAAAUGAGCAUGCAGUGCCUAGAGAUGCCAAGGAAUCCAGAUCACUGAGGUCGGAUAGAUGUGUCUUUCCAGAAUUUGAUGAGGUUAACCAGGUAGAGCCAGAUGGUAGAGAUCCUUGAAUACCAGGCAAGGGAGUUCAUCUCUCCACCUGUAAGCAUGAAGGAGCCACGGGAGAUUUUGCAAAGGGAAUGACCAAAACGAAAAUGGCAUUUAGGAAAUGAGUUUGCCAGAAGUACCUGGGAGAAAUGGGGACUAGGCACUGAGAAUGUAAUUCAUAGCACAGCAGAACAGAUACUAAAAGAUCGUUCUGGAAGCAGAAGGGCUGGUUUCCAGCUUUUCUGAGGUUGUUUCACUGUGGGUAACUGCUAAGGCCUUCACCCU